rnacentral:rRNA from 1 species
AUUGAACGCUGGCGGCAGGCCUAACACAUGCAAGUCGAGCGGAUGAAGGGAGCUUGCUCCUGGAUUCAGCGGCGGACGGGUGAGUAAUGCCUAGGAAUCUGCCUGGUAGUGGGGGAUAACGUCCGGAAACGGGCGCUAUACCGCAUACGUCCUGAGGGAGAAAGUGGGGGAUCUUCGGACCUCACGCUAUCAGAUGAGCCUAGGUCGGAUUAGCUAGUUGGUGGGGUAAAGGCCUACCAAGGCGACGAUCUGUAACUGGUCUGAGAGGAUGAUCAGUCACACUGGAACUGAGACACGGUCCAGACUCCUACGGGAGGCAGCAGUGGGGAAUAUUGGACAAUGGGCGAAAGCCUGAUCCAGCCAUGCCGCGUGUGUGAAGAAGGUCUUCGGAUUGUAAAGCACUUUAAGUUGGGAGGAAGGGCAGUAAGUUAAUACCUUGCUGUUUUGACGUUACCAACAGAAUAAGCACCGGCUAACUUCGUG